rnacentral:lncRNA from 1 species
GAAAACCUGCUAACAUUAAAGAAGAAAAACAGUUAUAUUUUAAUACCACCUUUACAUACUCAUUGAGCAAUUUUCCUUUAGGAAAGAAUGGCCCCUCCAUUUGCUAGCUAUGCAAAGGGCUCAACACUUUUCACAUAUAUUCUGGUUUGCUAAGAAAUGUGAGCAUUUGUCAGUAGUGUUUUUGUUUUGUUUUGUUUUUUGUACGCACAUGCUCAUAACAUGCAAAAGUUCCCAGGCCAGGGAUCAAACCCGCACCACAGCAGCAACUCUAUUCACAGCAGUGACAAUGCCAGAUUUUUAACUGCUAGACCACCAGGGAAUUCCCUAUCAGUAGUUUUUAUUGUUUGCUGGUUAGUUAGCUUUUCUGUGAAGACAUCUCCUGCCCCCCCCCGCCCCUUUUCAGGAUAUUCUCUCACUCCACUGGGUACAGAACUGGGAGGACACAGUGCCCUGCUUCCCUCCAUGAAAGACAAAGGAAGGAUCCUCCUUUUCCUACAUGACAACAUGGGUUCAUUCAAUCGGAUGCAGACAGUUUCUGUUCCUCAGUCAAGAACCAAGACUGAUAUGCUGGGAACUUUUGCAUGUUACAAGCAUGUGCAUACCCCAAAUCUCAGUAGCCAAGCACAAAGGUUUACUUCUCCCUCAUGCAGUUCUGAUGCAGGAUGGGUGGCUCUCUGUCUUUCUGUCUGCCCUUCAAGAAACAGCCAGCUCAUUACCGCUUGUCAAGACCUUGUGGCCAAGUGGACCCACGUGACCCCAAAUUCUUACAAGUCUCCUUAGAAAUGUUUAAAAAUUCUUGAAACAGGAGUCUGAGUAGCAUGCAUAUCAUCCGCUGCCACACUAUUGUUUUAUGUUAUUUAUCAUUGCUGUUGUGAUUACCGGAAUUUAUGGCAGUCAUUAGCCAACAGCCAUUCCGAUGCUCUCAGCCAGCAAUCUGUCACUCUUCUCCUUGGUGGCGGGGAGUAGAAAGGACAUGGGCAGUUACAGAACACCCAAAGCUCAGGGAGUCUUCGGUAAGGAUGAUGCAAUCCUCCCUCAGAGACCUGACAAGACCUUGACAGUGGGGAAAAGAGGGAGAGAGAGAGAAGAAAGAGAAGCAAGAACUAAUGAAUGUGGCCAGGCACCUGUCAGAACUCUAAAAGCUGAAGCACCCGAGAGGAAAGGGACAGGGUCACAGCACAGCUUGGGUCCAAGUUUUUGAGGGGUUGGCUGUACCCUGAGCAGUUUAAAAGGGCGCCUUCCAAUAAACAACAAAAACAGAUACACUAAGGAGUUCCCAUUGUGGCUCAGUGGGGUAAGAACCCGACAUAGUGUCUAUGAGGAUGCAGGUUUGAUCCCUAGCUCCACUCAGUAGGUGAAGGAUCCCGUGUAGCCACAAGCUGCAGUGUAGGUCGUAGUUUCAGCUCAGAUCCUGAGUUGCUGUGGCUGUGGUGUAGACUUCAGCUGCGGCUCCAAUUCGACCCCUAACCUGGGACCUUCAAUAUACCACAGGUGUGGCACUAGUAAGAAAAAAUAAAUAAAUACAUCUAAAAGGUGUUUUUUUUUCCCCUUAAGGCCAGAAGCAAUGCUAGCUCCUUGAUCCUGAUUUAGCAUUCACUGUGCAACACCCACAUUUGCCCUGUGACUCAUAAACUAAUAAAAGGAAGACCUCAUCCGCUCAAGAACAUAACCGCACAGAGCCAGAGCCGACCCUGUCAGACACCAUCAUUAACUUCACAGGUUAAUUUCAGUGAUUGCCAAUUUGUAGGCAACAUUCUUCAGGAAUACAAAUGCUCUGGUCCUACCUGAACCUCUUGCAAUCCUCCUCUUAGCCCCAGUACCCUUGGAUGAAAACAAUACAAUUUGCUGACUGCCAUCCUGAGGUUGUGACGACCAUGAUAUCAAUAUUAGGAAACCCCUUAAGAUUUGAAGAAUGAUUUCUGCAUCUGUUUCAAAGUGCUUAUAGCCCAUUAGCUCAUCUGAUUUUUAUGAGAACUUUCUACAAUGGGACAUUAUGUUUCAUUUUGAGGGCCACAAGCUCACUCCCUAAGGAGAAGGAUGAUGUCUUUCAGAGGCUACAGAUCUCCAGCCUGAGCACAGCAGCUGACACAAAGUAAGUGCUGGAACAUGUUUACAGAAAGAAUGAAUAAAUAAAUAAAUAAGGGAAUGUGUGAAAGUGAUUUCUAUUCGAACAAUAAGAAUACUGAAGUCUGUAGAAAGUAUUAUUUGCUUAGGAUCGCCAUGCUAUUUGGUGGAAGAAGCAGUAUUAUGUCUCCUAGUUUUGUGCUCUUCUCACUUACAUGCAUUUCACUGUAUAGUUACUGCUUUUCUUUUAAUAACUCCAAGUAAGAAAACCUGAUCCAAUGUGCACACAUCAGGGACAAGUUAAUCUAGUGUAAGACAUUAUUCUAUUUUCUUAGUCCUAUUUCCCAUCAGCUAACAUGGAAUAAGAGUUAACUACAAGCUGGCUCUACUUUUCAUAGUUGAAACUGAUGUUCUAAUAUACCUAUAGGAACUAAUACACAAAAGAAAGGAGUGAUGAUGCAGAGGUGGGAAGGAGGAAGGAAAGAAGCAAGGGAGGGAGAGAGGGAGGAAGAGAAGAGGAAGAGAGGGAAGGAGUCAGAAGGGAGGGAGGAAGGAAGGAAGAAGCAAGCCAAGAGGGCACCCCCCCCAAAAAAAAAAAAAAAAAAAAAAACUAGAGGGCCACUUUCCAGUGUACUACCUCCACGGCAACUGUAUUCCAUGGUAUGGAAGCGUCCUGGGAUUAACUUCCCCAAGUAUACUAGCACAGUAUCUCCUACUGAGAGCUUUCCCCAGGGCUACAGAGGGUGGCCUCCAGAAACUUCUACCAACAUAGCAUUUGGCAGUGGGUCACUAUACCCCCUCCAACGAGGUCUGGAGCUCAAUCUGGAAGAGGGAAUAUGUUCCAAAUAGUCUUCCUUCCUCAGACAUUCUGACUCAGCUCCAGGGGGAAGUAGCUGUUUCCUAUAUGUACUACUCCUAUAUCCCUUAGAGUUCUUUUGACCCCUUAGUAGGCAAGCUCUUGCUAUAAUUAAUAAUCCUUUAUAUUAAACUUUCCCUAUUCCAAUUACUGUGCAUAAAUGUUCAUAGUAGAUUUAUCUGUAAUAACCCCAAACUGGAAAAAAAUCCAAAUGUCCAUCAAGAGACAAAUGUAAAAACAAACUAUAAUAUAUUCAUUACACGGAAUACUAAUAAACAAUAAAAAAUGAAGGAAUACACCUAAGAAUGGAUGAAUCUCAAAAUCAUUAUGCUCAGUUAAAGAAAUCAGGCAAAAAAGUCCACAUGCUAUAUUGUUCCAUUUAUACAAAGUCUAACAAUGCAAACUUAUCUAUUCUGACAGAAAACAGAUCUGUGUUUGCCUGAUAAUGCAAAUGGAGGUGUAUUACAUAGAGAGAUAUAUUACAAAGGGUCCCAAGGAAAUUUGGGGUGGGGGCGAUGGAAACAUUUAUUACUUUUAUUACGUUGAUGGUUUCUCAGUGUAUACAUAUGUCAGAGCUGAUCAGAUUUAUACUUUAAAUAUAUGCAGUUCAACUCCAUAUCAAUAAAGUUGGGAGAAAAAGGAAAAAAAAUAAAUAAAUCUUGUUUUGUCAGAUCUGUCAAUAUUUUCUUAUACAUAUCUUCUAUUUCCAAACUACAAUAUUUGUUUGCCAUCCAGUGGUGCAAUGCUCAUUUGUAUUUUCUCUUGUUUUUUAUGACUUGAUUUUUUUUAAAAGAUAUUUCACUCUUUAUUCACAUUAGAAUUUAAAUAAGAACUUAAAAAAAAACUGGAUUUAAAGGUACAGUGGGAGAACACAAACUAUUGAGUUGCACUUGUUUCUUAUUCAGCAUUUGCAGAUAAAAGUCCUAGUGAGCUAAAAGUGGUCAAUGAGGAGAGUACACCUUUAAUUGGCUAAUUAAGAACACAGUCAGCAUGUUUCACCUUCAAAAUGAGAAAGAAGUGUCUCAAUUACCCAGCAAGUGCCUGAGUGUGCCACAAUUAGCUAAUUAUUGAUGACAUUAUUUCUGCGCUUGAUUAGUCAGGCAGUCACCAUGAAAGAGAAUGCUAGUGUCAAAAAUUCAAAUCCAGAACUUUCAGAAGUCAAGUUUAGUUGGCAUGUUCCAAUAAAGGAAAAAAAAUAUUAAUAUUUAGGGAGGGGGCCAUAUAUUUCCAGUCACUGAUCACACUUGCUUUAGGAAAUCUGUGUUUGAAUUAGGAAUAAAAGACACAGAUUUCACAACCAUCAUCUUUUCAAAUAUUCUAUUCUUCUUUAUUCAUAAACCAUCCAUACUUUUCCACAUUUUAAAAUCCUGUCUCCCCAACUUUUUCUGGUAUGUCAAAGAGCACAAAACUGUAAAUGAAAAGGUAAUAUUGAAUCUAUUCCUACAUAAAAAGUAAUGGCAAAAUAGUUAUAAGCUCCAUUAGAAAAAUCCCUUAACAACAACGUAUCAUCUGACAUUUCUUGAGGCUAUAAUGUCCUCAACCUCAUUAUAGCUCAUUACUCCUGUCAGUAGUAUUGGAUCUUGAAAUAUUGAAAUUAGAGGUAGUUUGGUGUGCCUGUAUCUAUUUCCCACUGAGCAGCACCAUCUGAAUGGAACCUAGGAACACUCAUGGUACACUGUGAUGUGAACACAUCAGGAUGUGGCCUCAGACAAAACAGAAUUAAGUUCAAAAUUCAGUCCUUUGCUUUUAAAAAUAUACUGAAUGGUUCAACUCUUAGAAAUACAUUUUUCUCAUCACAGAAUAAGCAUUCAGACUAUGGCAGCUGUCCAUCAAUGAAGGUUCACUGGAUGGAAUUUCAGGGACAGAAUGCAUAAUUGUAUGUCUCACAUCCUGAAGCAU